GACAGAGGGUGCAAACGUUGUUCGGAAUUACUGGGCGUAAAGCGCGUGUAGGCGGCUAAGUAAGUCGGGCGUGAAAUCCCACGGCUCAACCGUGGAAGUGCACUCGAAACUGCGUAGCUAGAGUCCUGGAGAGGAAGGUGGAAUGCUUGGUGUAGAGGUGAAAUUCGUAGAUAUCAAGCGGAACACCGGUGGCGAAGGCGGCCUUCUGGACAGUGACUGACGCUGAGACGGCGAAAAGCGUG
rnacentral:rRNA from 1 species